CUAGCAUACUGUUGGAAUUAAACAAAGAAAAGUGGAAAGAAAUCACCAAAACUCGACAGGACAUGAUUGACUCCACGAAUUUGCUUGACUUUUGCACGUGUAUUUUGAUUUCUCGAGUCACAGGAUCAGCUUCCAACUUUCUGUUUAUCAAAAUAUAUAUGUAGCAGCCGACAACCCUUUGUUUGAAUCCAAUAAAUGGACUUGAAAAUUCUGUCUUUUUUUUUUUUUCAAUCCACUUGCUGCCACCAACUUUAUAUAUAUAUAUUUCAAUCAAUUUACCAUUAAUUCUCCUCCCUUCUCUGCCUCUUUCUGUGGGUAUGUAUGUAUAUGAAUUAAAUCACAAGGCUGCCCCUUUUUUUCUUCCUCCUCGCCGUAGUAGUUUCUCUAGGUAAACUUUCCUCCCUCAGCCGUGUGAUGUGUAUCUGCCACUGCCCAAGUUUAUGUAUAUAUCCCAGCAGCCAAUUUCUCUUCUUGCUGUAGGUUUGUAUGUAUAUUAGUCAGCAGUAGCCGUUUUUUUUCUCCCCCCAAGCAGCCUUUUUUUUUUGUGAAUUCUGGCCAGCGACUUCUUGUGUAUAUAUCUCACCUCUCUUCCCCUCUAAUUGGUGUGUAAAAUAUAUAUAAAUCAGC
rnacentral:lncRNA from 1 species